GCCCCGGUGGUGCAGUGUUAGCACGCGUCACCGGCAUGGAUGAAGCGCGGUUUCGACUGCCGUCUGAGGUC